AUGGACUGGCCGACCAAGAAGUCGCCGCAGUCCGGCUCUGGCCUGGCGCAGCUUGCCGCCGGCCUCAGCAAGCGCCUCGCGGAAGAAAACCCCAGGACCAACCUCGUCUUCUCGCCGCUGUCCAUCUACACAGCUCUGUCGCUCCUGGCCGCCGGCGCCAGGGACACCACGCCGGACGAGAUCCUCCGCAUCCUUGGCGCGCGGUCGUGUGGCGAGCUCGAGAGCUUCGUGUCCCGCAUGGCGGCGGACGCGCUCCAGGACAGGUCCGCCUCGGGCGGUCCUCGUGUGGCGUUCGCGUGCGGCGUGUGGAGCGACCUGUCGCGGCCGCUCAAGCCGGCCUUCCGCGAGGCCGUCGUGGGCACGAUACAAGCCGAGGCAAGCACCGUCAACUUCCGGGGCGCACCGGAGGAAGCGCGUGGCCAGAUCAACGCGUGGGCGGCUCAGGUGACCAAGAACCUCAUCCGCAACGUUCUCCCCAAAGGAUCGAUAAAUCCGGCAAUAACUCGGGUCGUCCUCGGCAACGCCGUGUACUUUAAGGGCAAGUGGGAGGACCAGGCGUUCGACAAGAGGGACACCAUGCACGAAUCCUUCUACCGGCUCGACCGCAGCAAGGUCGACGUGCCCUUCAUGCAGAGUACAAUGUCGCAGUUCGUCGCUGUGCACGACGGGUUCAAGGUACUCAAACUCCGGUACAAAAUGGCGGCCCCCUUUUCUACUAGUGAUCCAUCCUAGUGUGCUUCUCCGUCGGUGUUCUCCGGCUCCAAUCGUACUAGGUACACGCAAUUCUCCAUGUGCAUAUUUCUCCCGGACGCCCAUGACGGCCUGUGGGGGCUGCUGGACACGAUUGAGUCCCGACCUGGGUUCCUGCAUGACCACCUGCCGGAGCAGCAAAUCGCCCUCCGCGAGUUCCGCAUGCCAAAGUUCAAGCUGUCCUUCCAUAGCAGCAUCGUCGCCGUGCUCAAGAAGCUAGGGCUUGAGCUGCCGUUCUGUGAGCAUGGCAACCUAUCUGGCAUGGUGGAGGACGAUGGCUCUGGCUUGCCGAUAGUGGUGGGGGAUGUCAUCCACAAGGCUGUUGUCGAGGUAAAUGAGGAAGGGACUGAAGCCGGCGCUGUCACCGUGUUGGUCGGGGCUCUUGGAUGCGCAAGGCCUCCGUCACUUCCAACACCUCCGCAGGUGGAUUUCAUUGCCGACCAUCCAUUUUCCUACUACAUAGUGGAGGAGGCGACCGGAGCUAUUGUCUUCGCGGGGGCACGUCCUUGA
rnacentral:rRNA from 1 species